AGAGUUUGAUCCUGGCUCAGAGCGAACGUUAGCGGCGGGCCUAACACAUGCAAGUCGAACGAGAAUGUAGGCUUCGGUCUACUAGUAAAGUGGCAGACGGGUGCGUAACACGUGGGUAAUCUACCUUCCGGCGGGGGACAACAGUCCGAAAGGAUUGCUAAUACCGCGUACGUCAGCGGUGCCUACGGGCACUGUUGGGAAAGACGGCCUCUCCUUGGAAGCUGUCACCGGAAGAUGAGCCCGCGCCCCAUCAGCUAGUUGGUGAGGUAAUGGCUCACCAAGGCUUAGACGGGUAGCUGGUCUGAGAGGAUGAUCAGCCACACUGGGACUGCGACACGGCCCAGACUCCUACGGGAGGCAGCAGUGGGGAAUAUUGGGCAAUGGGCGCAAGCCUGACCCAGCCACGCCGCGUGAGUGAUGAAGGCCUUCGGGUCGUAAAGCUCUGUGGGGAGGGACGAACAAAUCUGGGGCUAAUCACCCGGAUCCUGACGGUACCUCCUAGCAGC
rnacentral:rRNA from 1 species